UACGAAGGGGGCAAGCGUUAUUCGGAAUUAUUGGGCGUAAAGGGCGCGUAGGCGGCUUGGCAAGUGGAAGGUGAAAUCCCUCGGCUUAACCGAGGAACUGCCUUCCAGACUGUUAGGCUUGAGACCGGGAGAGGUGAGUGGAAUUCCCAGUGUAGCGGUGAAAUGCGUAGAUAUUGGGAGGAACACCAGUGGCGAAGGCAGCUCGCUGGGACGUUACUGACGCUGAGACGCGAAAGCGUGGGGAGCAAACAGG
rnacentral:rRNA from 1 species